AUGGUGGGAGUUGGAGUCCAAAACCCCCGGAGAGAGGGCCCAAGUUUGCCGCUGCCUGCCAGUCUAUCGGGAGCCUGCCUCUGCCUCGCUCUCCCGCCGCAAGAGGGCCCUGGCCACUUCGCCAAGGACCGGGAGGCUGCGCUCUCUCUUUGUCUGCCGUCUGCGGCCAGCCGGGGGUCGGGAUGGGUUUCCUGUCUGCGCCGCUUGCUGCAUCCGGAGCGAAGGCGGGCAGAGGGAGAGGCAGGAGGAGAAGCCGGAGAAGAGAGAGGCCCGGGGAGAGGCUGCAGCGGCGGGCCCGAGAGAUCUGCCCGAGAGAAGCUUGCCUUGGCACCGCGUGUUUUGCUUUCCCGGUGCGGCCGGCGAGUUCGCAAAAGAGAACGAGGGCGUGGGCCGGGCAUCCAGGGGGAGAGGAAGCCUUUCCUUCGCCCACAUUGCGGGGAAAGAAGGGGGACACAGCAGGGGGGAAAUGGGGGGAAAGAUCAGGCUCGGGGGGGGGGCGCCAAAAGGGCCGCCCAGGUGCGUCCCAUGCCGCCUCCUUUUGCGCAUUCAGUUCUGGCUUGGCUUGCCAAGUUCAUCGCGGUGAUGAUUACGCGCAGCUCUACCAAAUCAAAAUAUUGUCUCCUCGGAGGCUUUCAGGGCCUUCAUUGGGUUGCUGUUGAGUUUUCCGGGCUGUGUGGCCUUGUUCCAGAAGCAUUCUCUCCUGACGUUUCGCCCACAUCCAUGGCAGGCACCCUCAGAGGUCUUCAGGGUCCUCCUCCAGAGGCAAACCAAGAAUGGGCAACUUGGAAGUCCCUGAACAGACUCAGAAGAGGAGUGGGCAGAUCUAAAGACAACCUGGCAAGAUGGCACUGCCUGGAGGAAUCCUCCACCUUGUGUGACUGUGGAGCUGAACAAACAACUCCGCAUAUGUAUUUAUUUAUUAUUUAUUUACAGCAUUUAUAUUCUGCCCUUCUCACCCCGAAGGGGACUCAGGGCGGAUCACGUUACACAAAACAUUCAAUGCCUUUUAACAUAGAACAAAGACAAACAAACAUAGGCUCCGAGCGGUGCUCGAACUCAUGA
rnacentral:lncRNA from 1 species